UACGUAGGGGGCAAGCGUUGUCCGGAUUUAUUGGGCGUAAAGAGCGUGUAGGCGGCUUGGUAGGUCCGCUGUGAAAACUCGAGGCUCAACCUCGAGAUGUCGGCGGAAACCACUUGGCUAGAGUCCGGAAGAGGAGAGUGGAAUUCCUGGUGUAGCGGUGAAAUGCGCAGAUAUCAGGAAGAACACCCGUGGCGAAGGCGGUUCUCUGGGACGGUACUGACGCUGAGACGCGAAAGCGUGGGGAGCGAACAUG
rnacentral:rRNA from 1 species